AACGUAGGAGGCAAGCGUUAUCCGGAUUUACUGGGCGUAAAGCGUGUGCAGGCGGUUUCAUAAGUUGUGCGUGAAAGCUUCAGGCUAAACCUGAAGAGGCCGUGCAAGACUGUGAAACUAGAAUCCAUCAGAGGCAAGCAGAAUUCCAGGUGUAGUGGUGAAAUGCGCAGAUAUCAGGAGGAACACCGGUGGCGAAGGCGGUUCUCUGGGCAUUACCUGACGCUGAGGAGCGAAAGUGUGGGGAGCGAACAGG
rnacentral:rRNA from 1 species